AGAUGGUAUAAAAGGAGGAAUGUAACUGCGUGAGAGAGAACGCCAUUAGAGAAGAUGUAGAAUGCUUAAUAAAAGCUUGCUGUGCUUAACAACUUCUGGCGUAUAGAGUAUACUAUGAGGAAGAACCCAGUGGGGGGUGCUGCGCCAGAGACUUCCGAAGACCUGGAAUGAAAUGAUUGAAAGUCUCUUACCUCAAUGAAGCUCCAUCUCCUCCCCUGAAAGAUGAUGCUGAGUCUUCCUGGGUAUCUGAUGACAUCCUUUUCAUUGAGUCACCUCCAAAAUUGUUGUUAAGAAUAUGGUUCAUUCUAUCUUACCCUCAAUGUUUCUUUCUAUUCAUUUUGAAAGUCCUUUAAUUCUUCUGCACUAAAUAAGCUGUGCUAGAGCCAAUUCCACCCACUUGAGAGAGACAGUUGUUAAAUUUAGUAUGCCGAUUUUAUACCUUAGGAAUUACAAAACUAAAAGUCGUGGUUUUAUCCACUUUGCUGAUUGUCCAGAUAUAAGAAAUCAAUGGGAAAAAUGUUAAUCAUUCAAAUAAAAUUUUAAAAAUGUG